CCCUUAGUAGCUCAGUGGCAGAGCAUUCGACUGUAGAUCGAGCGGUCACAGGUUCGACUCCUGUCUGGGGGA
rnacentral:tRNA from 1 species